GAUGAACGCUAGCGAUAGGCCUAACACAUGCAAGUCGAGGGGUAACAGAGUGUAGCAAUACAUUGCUGACGACCGGCGCACGGGUGAGUAACACGUAUGCAACCUACCUACAACAGGGGAAUAACCCGGAGAAAUCCGGACUAAUACCGCAUAACACAGGGGUCCCGCAUGGGAAUAUUUGUUAAAGAUUUAUCGGUUGUAGAUGGGCAUGCGUUCCAUUAGCUGGUUGGUAAGGUAACGGCUUACCAAGGCAACGAUGGAUAGGGGAACUGAUAGGUUUGUCCCCCACACUGGAACUGAGACACGGACCAGACUCCUACGGGAGGCAGCAGUGAGGAAUAUUGGUCAAUGGACGCGAGUCUGAACCAGCCAAAUCGCGUGAAGGAAGACUGCCCUACGGGUUGUAAACUUCUUUUAUAUGGGAAUAAAAAGAGGGACGUGUCCCUUGUUGCAUGUACC
rnacentral:rRNA from 1 species